AUGCCUCCUCUGCCCCGAAACGACGGCGGCAGGGACGCUGACGCCCUCACCCGCCUUCCACCUCCCCCAGCUCGCCUUGUCGCCGGUCGAUUUGGAGGAGCCUCCUUUCGCGCGCCACCGUGGUCGGGCUGCGGCGACCACCAGAGGUCCGCCGCCGGCAGGAGCUCUCUCCUUCUCCACCAUGAGGCACCAGCAGACGAGGAUGAUUCCUUCUUCCACCCCUAG
rnacentral:rRNA from 1 species